CUGCCUCCUGCCUGACUUGCAAGGUGUGACUGGGCUCUUCUGCCUCUGCUAGAGGGAUGGAGAGAGGGGACUGUAACAACCAGGAAAUGAUGACAGGAUGGGAGACCCAGGCUGAGAUAAUCUUCAAUGGUCCUGGUGUACAUGCCAAGCAAGAGGCAGUGGGUGGCUGCAGGAGAAAGGGCCUUUUCAGUGGUGGCACCAUGGCUAUUGACUGCUCCCCCCCAGAGAGGCUUGUCUAGCACCUACUUUAUAUUUUCAGCACCAGCGCCUCCCACUCCUGAAGAGUCAAGUCAUAGAUCCAUUUGCAGCACUAGUGGAACCCCUUUCAGAGAGACAGCACAACAAACAAAGCCCCAUCUGUCUGCUUUGUAUAUCCCACAACCUACCCGCUCCACCCUGACUGCAUGUGUGUAUCAUUUCUUUGGCUCCUAUUUUUUAAAUUUAAAAUGUAUGUUUCUACAUAGCCCAGGAAACACACAUUCUUACUAAAGGCCUUUGACAAUUAAGAAAUUUUUGUGGGC